GGGUGAGGCGGCGGCCUCAGGUUGUCCUGCUGUGCUCCGCAGUGCUCCAACGCCGCGGGGCGGCUCCGGCGCCGCCUCAGCUUCUACAGGAGAGACGUUGUGGGUGAGACAGAGGGAACAUCAAAUGAGAAACUGGGAAGAGAUAUGAAGUAGCGGGACCAGUUUUUCUAAUUUCUCAACAGAAAGCUCAACUGAUCAAAGAGAAGGAAGGAAGCAAUUUGCUGGGCUCCCAGGACACCAACGCAGAGCUACCUUCGGAGCCGGCACUGUGUGACUGCAUGGAGACUGUCUGUGCCAGUGGGCCAGACCUAAAGAAGGAACUACCAGAUGAUGCUGAGGAUUCCUGCAUUCAUCGACAGAAGCAGUUUAGUGAGACAAAGGAACCGUAAGGCAGGAUAUGCAGUAACUGCUACUGAGCAGGUAAUCAGAGUACAACCGUUACCUGUAGGGACUUCCACUAAGGGUCUAAAAUAGCCUUAAACGUAUGGACAGAUGCUAAAUAUGCAUUUGGGGUGGCACACACUUAUGGUACCAUCUGGAAAGAGCAAGGAGUGCUCACACACAGGGAAAACAAAUUGAGCACGGUGUAUAUCUACCAAAGAGCGUGGCUGUUAUACACUGUGAUGGACAUCAGAAAGGUGACACUGUCCAGGAAACUGGAAAUAUGAUAGGGAUCAGGUGGCAAAACAGGCAGUUGAAGGAAAAGAAAUAGCAGAACUGGCUUUAAUUCCAGAUGGUAAACUUCAAAUCUCUGAACCUGAGUCAGCCUGUGGAGCAUUUUAGAGGGGACAGGAAUCUAAUUAAUGAUUUAGAAGGGAAGAGAGCUAGCUGACAGAUGGGUGCAUACCCAGAUGGACACGCUGUUGUGCCCUUUAGUACUUUAUGGAAGUUGGUUCUAAGGGAACAUAUUGAAACAUACUGAGGGGACAAACAGUAGAAAGUAAUUGCGCAAUCUAGUACCAGGAACAGGGUACAAGUGGGGCCUAUUAGGAAAGGGAACCUUCCAGGGCAACAAUGGCAAAUUGUUUUUUGUUUGGAACUACCAGGAAAAAAGGAGGGUUUUGUUAUAUGCUAGUUGAAACCAAUACCUUUCCAGGGUGGCCAGAAGCAUUCCCUCUGCAAAGCCAAAGAAGUAGCCGAGGUAUUGUUGCAGGAGAUUAUUCCAAGGUUUGGGGUUAGGCAACAAUAUCCUCCAACCAGGAGCUCCCUUGAUUGUAAAGAUUGUCCAACAGGGCAGAAAUAGCUUUGGGAAACAGAGAAACUGGUUCUAGGAACAAGAGCCCAAGGCCUUGACAGCUUGAUAAAUCAUAUUUUACAAAGAGAUUAUGUGUAUAUAUUAGAUCUCUUUCAGACCCACCCCUGGAACCAAGCUGGGAAGGUCUGUUCCAGGUGCUGCUAACGUCCCACACAGCUGUCAAAGUUAAAGAACAAGCGCUGUGGAUGCAUUAGACUAGGGUCAAUAAGAUUCCUUGAACACAAUGGGAAUCGAAGUCAGCUGGACCUUUAAAACUGCAAAUCCAAAGACAGUAAAUAUGGGCUCUUGUAAUAGUGAGAAAUUUGAUAAGUGCGGCUUUUGAUGCAAAUGCUUAUGUAAAAAAAAAACAAACAAAAAACAACAAAAGCUUUGCAAAGUAUGCCAGUCUCAGUCAUUGUGCAGUAUGUGGCCAAGCCGACGAUUUUAACUCUCCACUCCUUGGAAUCCCUGAUGCAUUUAACUAGAAGGAGCACUGAUGGCCAUCGGUUGCUGUGUUAUCCUGUGUGUGAAGGGACUGGUUCAACAACUGGUCGAGACAGCACUACUGAAGCAAACAGCAAGGGAGCCACCACCACAUUUGGAUAAAAUGAUGGUGUGAGAGGAGAUGGGGAAUGAAGACAGCAAAGAUGAUAUCUGUAAGAUUGUACCAUAUAAAAGAAUUGCAGAAAUCAACAAUGUAAGAAGAAGAAAAGGGGGGAAUUGUAGGAAUGGAAUGUUGUUUCUGCAUUAGAUACUGAAAAUGGGGAAUUGAUCCGAAGAAGUAGAGCACAAUGGAUUUGUAUUUUGUAACUUGUCCUUAGAAAUAGCUGAUGUGAAAAGGUAGAAAUACUGGAUAUGUUAGUAGCGUAUUUCAGAAGUAUAGCUGCUGAAUUAUGUGAUUAGUUCUUGCUUGCAGAACUGCAAUGGUUUUUAAAUGUUCCAGAUAGUAUAGGGAUAGUAUGAUGGACUAGAAAGCAUAUUGUAGGGCUAUACUGUUUAGAUAGAGAACCUCAGCAAGAGAAAAACAGACUUGACCAACAUCCAAGAAGCCAGGGCCUCUGCACAAGGUUGGAUUGCCUCGCUCUGUGGGUAGGUGCAACAGGCAGGCAUGAAGAUACUCCCCUCUAUCCUCCUGCCAAGCUUGUCUCUAUCCAAGGGCAAGCAGAUGCCCAGAAACAGUGACUGAGUGUUGAAUGAGCACACGUGAGCACACGUUAACUAAUGAGUGACAUGUGCUUAGCUAGCAACAAGUUAUGUUGAUCCAGUAUCCGUACGUUUAGCUGAGCAUCGGGAAGAUUGUGAACCUGAAGUACUCAGCCAAUGAGGAACCAGUGAGGGGAGAAAGAGGUAAGCGUCGAUAACAGGGAGUAAAAAUGGAAGGCUGUUUUCUGUGUGCUCUCCUGCUUGCAGGAGGCCUGCCAUUGCAGUUGUGCAUAGAAUCUGCUUUAUCAGAGAUACCGUCCUGAUAAAUUAUUUGUAUUUGCCUAUUUCCAAGGUGGCAAGCACACCCCUUCAGGGCACUUGUCAUCCCACCGUUAGUCAGUCCUUGUAAGAAGCACCACGACAAAUCCACCUGAAAAACACAGCCCUUCCAUUGAGUAACAAAGAAAGCACUCUGCCCUUGCUCCUGACCCUCGUCCCUGCCCCCACCUGCCCUCACAGUACAGCCACCUUCUCUUGAGCAGGGUAAAGAGCAGUGAGAAUUCAUACUUGGUUAUCCUGGCACAAAGAGUUUGUGGGCCACAAAGAGAAAUGCCUGCAUUCCAGAAAACAGAGACAAAAAGAGACAGUCGGAGGAGUGCCUAAUAAAGAU
ensembl:lncRNA